rnacentral:rRNA from 1 species
UACGUAGGGACCAAGCGUUGCUCGGAUUGACUGGGCGUAAAGGGCGCGUAGGCGGUUCGUACAGUCAGACGUGAAAUUCCUGGGCUCAACCUGGGGGCUGCGUUUGAUACGUGCGGACUUGAGUGCGGAAGAGGGUCGUGGAAUUCCCAGUGUAGAGGUGAAAUUCGUAGAUAUUGGGAAGAACACCGGUGGCGAAGGCGGCGACCUGGUCCGAUACUGACGCUGAGGCGCGAAAGCGUGGGGAGCAAACAGG